AUUGAACGCUGGCGGAAUGCUUUACACAUGCAAGUCGAACGGCAGCACGGAUUUCGGUCUGGUGGCGAGUGGCGAACGGGUGAGUAAUGUAUCGGAACGUGCCCAGUCGUGGGGGAUAACGUAGUGAAAAUUACGCUAAUACCGCAUACGAGCUAUGGAUGAAAGCGGGGGAUCGCAACACCUCGCGCGAUUGGAGCGGCCGAUAGCAGAUUAGGUAGUUGGGAGGGUAAAGGCCCACCCAGCCAACGAUCUGUAGCUGGUCUGAUAGGACGACCAGCCACACUGGAACUGAGACACGGUCCAGACUCCUACGGGAGGCAGCAGUGGGGAAUUUUGGACAAUGGGCGAAAGCCUGAUCCAGCCAUUCCGCGUGCAGGAUGAAGGCCCUCGGGUUGUAAACUGCUUUUGUACAGAACGAAAAGGUUUCUACUAAUACUAGGAGCUCAUGACGGUACUGUAAGAAUAAGCACCGGCUAACUACGUGCCAGCAGCCGCCGCAG
rnacentral:rRNA from 1 species